UAUUUGCAUUUCUGUGAUAAGCAAGCAUUGCAGCAAAAUAUGGCAGAACAAGAAAUAUACAUAUGUUUUGUUGUUGUGAUAGUUUGAUAUAUAUCCUUAAAUCCUUGAAUCAAAGGAAGAUCUUGAUAUUUAUAUCCCACUAUGUGUUCGUCACCAAGAGCCUGCAUAGUCUGGUCAUGCCUCAUACUCCCUCGAUGGUGGGGCCUCUUCUCGCACGACGACAACAGCCUGGACCCACAGUGCCGACACAGCUGUCUGGCUGCGAAGGAAACAUGCUCAGAUGAAUGAUAAAAUGAAACCAGGCUUGAAGAUGACCAAAGAUGACAUGAAGCAACCUAGAAGAAAUAGUCACCAGUGGACGGCAAUUCGUCUGAUAAAGUGCUCUGGCUCCUUGAGUCCAUGCUGGCAAUGCAGAAGCAUCCUCCUAAUGUACUAACUGCAUCUGGAGCAUCUUAAAUUCUAUAAAUUUGGUAAAGGAUUCCCCACCAGCGGCAAAGAACUAUUUCUAUUCUGAUCGCCGCAUUUUUUCUUUCCUUUCUACUGUUUGCAAAUGUCUUCAAAACAUCAACGAACUUCAAUGUUACCGUGCUGCUUCUUGCUACAGAUGCGAUAGGCCUCCUUAGGGAGGCAGGGGAGUAGUUCUUCUGGGUGUGAAGCUGAAUGCUCCUUGGCUUCAGCUUCUUUUCUUCUUCUUGUGUUUUAACUUCUUUUCUCCAGCUGCUACCUCCAGCAGUCUUGUAUAGUUUUUCCCUCUAAUAUAUUGAAAAGGCAGACCUCCUGCUAUUCCGGUCAAAAAUAUAUAUAUAUGCUGUAUUCAGGUAUUUAGGGCCCGUUUGGUGUCACUGCGCUCCACGGCUCCGCUCCAAAAGAGGAUGGAGCUCUAGUGCAAAAUCUUGGAGUGAGCAAACAGCCGCUCUGCAGAUAUUAGGAGCCGGUGGAUUACCGAACCGGUCCUUAACUUCUCAAGGUUAUCCUUUGGAGUCUUGGUUCCUUGAAGACUUUGGAAUAAAGAGUGAACUCUAGGGAAGAUAACCAAAACACAUGGCGGAUGGACUCUUCAUAUUUACUCCAAAUAUUUUGAUUUAUAGCCACUCCAUCAGUAUCGCCAUUGGUUAGAGGCUACAAGGUCACUUUGUAAAGCUGAGGCAUGACAAGGAGACAACAUAUGCUUGGACAAAUGAAAGUAUGUUUUCUCAUCAAAAAAUAAAAUUGGAAGUACUUUAAGCAUGAAUUUUGUAUUGUGUCCCAUAGAGUUAGGGAAACAAUCUACAGUGCUCACUAAUUAGUUGGCCUAAUCUUUUUUGGUGUUUCAGUACCCUGCAUGUUAAAAUAAAUUAUGGAAACCUAACCCUCGAAGUACCAUAACAUCUAUUCUUUGAUAUUCCAAUGUAGGAAAUCAGAUAACAAAAUUUGACAACAAUGCAAAAGAACAACCAAUAAGAAUGGAUAGUUGGACCGGCAAACAACACCAACAUUCAUUCAUCUAUGAAUAUAAAUAUAACAGCAUGACAAAAACUAAUCUGUGAAUUAUGCAAGAUAAAAUGACAAUAAAAUAGCAAGAUAAUAGGUUACGAUUGGGAGUGGAUCAAUGGAGGAAAGUAAAAAAAACAUGGUACAAAACAGAUGCCAUGAGGAAGGUACCAGCUCGCGAUGGGGACUUGAAAUUUCACCCAGUACUAUACUUAGCGGAAACAAG